rnacentral:pre_miRNA from 1 species
CGCUGGAUGCAGAGGUUUAUCGACCGAUUCAUGUUUUUGUGCUUUUCACAGACAAAAUCUCAGGAAGAGAUCGAUGAACCGCUGCCUCCAGU